rnacentral:rRNA from 1 species
CAUUACAAAUGUCUGGGAUGUCCAAUCGGGCCCCCAAGCAAACACAUCCAUGUGUACACUCCCAUGUUGCUUCCCCAGAUCAGUGGCCACUGCUGCCAGCCCACCCCCUCAAUUGGGGUCCUGGGUUGAGGUGUCUGGGGAAGGGCCCAAUAACAAACCUUUGAACCAAUUAGUUGUCUGAGUAGGCCACCCGCCGCAAUCUUUAAAACAUGUUAAAACUUUCAACAACGGAUCUCUUGGCUCUCGCAUCGAUGAAGAACGCAGCGAAAUGCGAUAAGUAAUGUGAAUUGCAGAAUUCAGUGAAUCAUCGAAUCUUUGAACGCACAUUGCGCCCUUUGGUAUUCCUUAGGGCAUGCCUGUUCGAGCGUCACUAAAAACCCCCUCACAGAUAAUGUGGUAUUGGUAGAAGUGAACGGUACUUACAUUACCUUGUCUCACUCUGCUGAAAUGAAUAGGCCAGAGAAGUGGACCCAUGGUAAUUGACUCCAGGAGUGUUUUUCAAUGCUAAACUAGUCUUUACCCAAGUCAAAUUCUGAGCUACCGGACCCCCCAUUAAGUCCAAAACAGAGUGGUUGACCUCGGAUCAGGUAGGGAU